UACGUAGGGUGCGAGCGUUGUCCGGAAUUAUUGGGCGUAAAGAGCUCGUAGGCGGUUUGUCGCGUCUGCUGUGAAAACCCGAGGCUCAACCUCGGGCCUGCAGUGGGUACGGGCAGACUAGAGUGCGGUAGGGGAGAUUGGAAUUCCUGGUGUAGCGGUGGAAUGCGCAGAUAUCAGGAGGAACACCAAUGGCGAAGGCAGAUCUCUGGGCCGUAACUGACGCUGAGGAGCGAAAGCAUGGGUAGCGAACAGG
rnacentral:rRNA from 1 species